GAUGAACGCUGGCGGCGUGCCUAAUACAUGCAAGUCGAGCGAACGGACGAGAAGCUUGCUUCUCUGAUGUUAGCGGCGGACGGGUGGGUAACACGUGGAUAACCUACCUAUAAGACUGGGAUAACUUCGGGAAACCGUAGCUAAUACCGGAUAAUAUUUUGAACCGCAUGGUUCAAAAGUGAAAGACGGUCUUGCUGUCACUUAUAGAUGGAUCCGCGCUGCAUUAGCUAGUUGGUAAGGUAACGGCUUACCAAGGCAACGAUGCAUAGCCGACCUGAGAGGGUGAUCGGCCACACUGGAACUGAGACACGGUCCAGACUCCCACGGGAGGCAGCAGUAGGGAAUCUUCCGCAAUGGGCGAAAGCCUGACGGAGCAACGCCGCGUGAGUGAUGAAGGUCUUCGGAUCGUAAAACUCUGUUAUUAGGGAAGAACAUAUGUGUAAGUAACUGUGCACAUCUUGACGGUACCUAAUCAGAAAGCCACGGCUAACUACGUG
rnacentral:rRNA from 1 species